rnacentral:lncRNA from 1 species
AUGCCAAUAAAGCAUUUUUUAAGAACUAGGAUAGAAUUAUAGAUUCACAAACGGAAUGAAAAAAGCCAAUAAACUGAUGUCAACAGUGAUAUUAAUCCAAUGUUGAAAUUGUCUGACAAGGUUUAAAAGCAGCAUUAUAAAAAUGCUUCAAUACUCACCUACACAUCCUCUUGAAACAAAUGAAAAUAUAUGAGAUCUCAGCAAAGAAACAGAAGCUAUAAAAAUAAUCAGAUGGAAAUAACAAAGAAUUCACCCAAUUUGAACAAAAAAAAAGACCAAAUAAAAGAAUACACUCUUUGAUAUCUGAGUGACUUCCUUAGAAACAUUGGUCUAUAAUUUUAUUUUCACAGUCAUUAGCAGAAAUAGAACUCUUAAUUGUAAACUAUAUUCAUGAGAUUUCUGAUAGCAUUUACAAAAUUUUAGCGGCACUGGAUGCUUUCAUCAAAGAAGUAUGCUGUUUUACUUAGGCCAG